rnacentral:tRNA from 1 species
CCCCUGACAGUCUAGUGGUUAAGACGUUGUGCUUUCAUUGCCAAAGGCCUGAGUUCAAUCCCUGGUCAGGGAA